rnacentral:rRNA from 1 species
CGCCUACGGGACGCAGCAGUGGGGAAUAUUGCACAAUGGGCGAAAGCCUGAUGCAGCAACGCCGCGUGAAGGAAGACGGUUUUCGGAUUGUAAACUUCUAUCAAUAGGGAAGAAAGAAAUGACGGUACCUAAAUAAGAAGCCCCGGCUAACUACGUGCCAGCAGCCGCGGUAAUACGUAGGUGGCAAGCGUUAUCCGGAUUUACUGGGUGUAAAGGGCGUGUAGGCGGGGAAGCAAGUCAGAUGUGAAAAGCUCGGGCUCAACCUGUGGUCUGCAUU